rnacentral:rRNA from 1 species
AGCAGCCGCCGCGGUAAUACGUAGGUGGCGAGCGUUGUCCGGAAUUAUUGGGCGUAAAGCGCGCGCAGGCGGAUAGGUCAGUCUGUCUUAAAAGUUCGGGGCUUAACCCCGUGAUGAGAUGGAAACUGCCAAUCUAGAGUAUCGGAGAGGAAAGUGGAAUUCCUAGUGUAGCGGUGAAAUGCGUAGAUAUUAGGAAGAACACCAGUGGCGAAGGCGACUUUCUGGACGAAAACUGACGCUGAGGCGCGAAAGCCAGGGGAGCGAACGGGAUUAGAUACCCCUGUAGUCCCUGUCUCUUAUACA